rnacentral:tRNA from 3 species
CGGGAGAUGUCGGAGCGGUUGAACGUGCCGGUCUUGAAAACCGGUGAGGGUAAUACCUCCGGGGGUUCGAAUCCCCCUCUCCCGGCCA